AUUGAACGCUAGCGGGAUGCUUUACACAUGCAAGUCGAACGGCAGCGCGGACUUCGGUCUGGCGGCGAGUGGCGAACGGGUGAGUAAUGUAUCGGAACGUGCCCAGUAGCGGGGGAUAACUACGCGAAAGCGUAGCUAAUACCGCAUACGCCCUACGGGGGAAAGCCGGGGAUCGUAAGACCUUGCACUAUUUGAGCGGCCGAUAUCGGAUUAGCUAGUUGGUGAGGUAACGGCUCACCAAGGCGACGAUCCGUAGCAGGUUUGAGAGGACGACCGGCCACACUGGAACUGAGACACGGCCCAGACUCCUACGGGAGGCAGCAGUGGGGAAUUUUGGACAAUGGGGGCAACCCUGAUCCAGCAAUCCCGCGUGUGCGAUGAAGGCCUUCGGGUUGUAAAGCACUUUUGGCAGGAAAGAAACGUCGCGGGCUAAUACCCCGUGGAACUGACGGUACCUGCAGAAUAAGCACCGGCUAACUACGUG
rnacentral:rRNA from 1 species